CUGGGUGACUCCUAGUUUGCUUGACAAGAGGGAUGCUACUAAAUUGCCGUCAGUAUAAUUGCCGAUAACCAAGUCUGGUUUUCCCUCCAGUAUGUCAAGAAUCUUGACCGAAGAAUCCUGAAAUCACCGCGGUAAGGAUAAAUGUCAAACCGGGAAACCCAUUGGCGAAGAUCUUUCCCAUCAUCAGUCUUGAAUGGUACGCGGAGGAUGCUUGAGUGCUUUGUGUGCUCUACCGGUUCAAGCUCGACGUUGCACUUGGUGCCCUUUGCUUCUGGUAUAAGUCUUGUUAACUGCAACAUGAUCGUCAGAUGCUCCAUUCCAGGAUUGUCAGUUUAGUAGGCCUAGUUUAAUGAAGACGGUCGAAGUUUACCACGAGAAUCUUCGGAGUAAUAUUCAGGCCCUGCUGCUUGAUUCUUUGCAACAAUUCCUCUUCUAGAGCUCUAACUUGGUCCAGGAUGUAAACUACCUGUCGAGAAAAUUACGACCCAUUGGCUUCUUUCUCAAGCAUGAAUAAUUGUGGAUUCGGGGUUCUGUAUCUGCCAGUGUAAGCUAAUGAUCACUAUACCUGACCGCCGGUAUCCGGCAACCCAAGGACCUUCUCCUGACCAAAGUAACCAUGGAUGGAGAAGAUCACAAUGUUGAAAACCGAUGGCAUACUGCUGAAAAACUUCUCCAUGUUGACAGGAUCUGGUGCCUGGAGCACUUCAGAUAUGCAGUUGAGUGUCUCUCUGCACGUUUUGGCAGUGUCACCCCAUCCUUUCUCCAAUCCCCACUCCUGAAACCUGCAAUGGCCAGCGAACAUAUCGAUCAGGCCGGCGAGGAAGACCUCUGCGAGAAGCAACGCUGUCUGAAGCUUGUCAGCGGUAUCUAGUGUUUCACUGAUCAUCAGUUUCUGCAUGACAGGGAGGAAAGAUGAAGCUCAUUUCAGCUAGCAAAUCUACCAUCAAGCUUAGCGAAUGGAUGGUCAGUUUGAUAUGCUUACCUCACCACGGUAGUUCAGCGUGAGCAGGUAGUCCAGCAACGGCUUCAUGUUCUCCGUCUUGCCGCUCAGUUUCGAAGACAUGAACCGGGAGACAAACUGCGCCCCGUUCCCGAUGGAUGAUGGCAGUGUGAGAUGCGGUGUCGAGAGGUCCAGCGCGCCGAAAUCGACUUCGAGCGAGUUGUCAUCACGUGCCCUGGAGAAAACAGCAGGUGGGUCUGGGUUUUAAAUUUGUUCAGGCUACGUGCAGUGGCAGGUUUGUGUGUGUAAUGCAGUACCAUUUGUCAUCAAAGAGGGUCUCCUUGCACUUGAGGUAAUCCGCUGGCGUGACCUGCUCCACCGAAAGGUCUCCGGAAUGCACUUUGAUGUACUCCCAGACACCGGGGUUUGUCCUGACAGCGAAGGCAACGAAAGGCGGGAGCACAACAGCCUCCUGCGUGGAGCAGAUCACGUAGCCGAGGAAGCCCUCAGCGAGCUUGGCCUUCUCGAGCUUGUCAUCAUCCGCCGACCUCUCAAGCUCCUCCACCAGCUGCCGGUUCUUCAUCAGCCUCCUGCCCUUGGAGACGUACCUGCAAACAGAUCGCCGAGAAGCAUUUGAUCGAUCACCACGAGUGCUUAUGUAGACUUCAGAGAAAGAAAUGAAGAGCUAGGGGGAGGAGGGCGGGAAUGAUUAUUUGUGGUACCUUUGGAAGCACCUCUUCAUCUGGUAGCGGCUCUGUCGCAGCGCCUCCGGCAUCAUGUCAGCGACGCUGUCGGACCUCCUAAGGACGCCGCCGGGCAUGGAGGAGGAGGCCAUGGCUGAGUUGCGGGUGGAUGCCUGGAUGGUGUAGCUUGAUGGUGGUGUUGGGCAAUGAUCGUCAUGGUAGCAAUAUAUAGGCUGGGUAGAGAAGGAAAGGGCACGAAGAUGGAGAUGGAAGCAAGUUAAUUAUGCUCUCUGUGCGCGUUUCUCUGUCAAUGUCUCUUUCCUAACAAGAGGAAGAUGGAAGGAGAGGAGAGGAAGCAAAGGAAGGAAGAAUUAUGGGAGGCAAGCAAGGCAUUUUUGUUUCCCUUAUUAAUUAAUUUACACCACCUUCUGCAUCAUCAUCAUAAUCCCCAUGUAUUAUUAUUCCCCGUAAGAUUCACUCAUCAGUGUCGUAUUUCUGUCCUCUGUUAAUUGCAAAAGGGAACUGUCGCAUGUCGGGAAAUGCUCAGAUAUUUCAGUGAAAUUAAAGCUUUUUGUUUGUUUA